rnacentral:pre_miRNA from 1 species
AAACAGCCCCCUAUGUUUUUAUUCUUUAGCAGUUUUGGACCCUCAAGGCAAAAAAAUGACACGUGACACCUCACUUAGGGUGCCACGUCAGCGUUGACUGGGUCAACAAUGGGCUGGGGGUCCAAAACUGUCAAAGAAUCAAAACAUAGGAGGCUGUUU